CUUCCUUUAGCUAGUCAGUCGGCAAUUCUGCAACAGUGGCUCUAACUGACGCAGCACUUGACAGACAGCAUUACAGCGUGAAAUCCAGCUUGUGAACAGGUUCUGUAAGGAAUUCUGUUCAGGAGGUCGCAUUUCAGGCUCUCCACAUCAUGUGUGACUGACUUUUACGUUAUAAUGAUCACACACUAGGAAUGUUAUAAAGCACCUAUAUGGGACAGUUUCUUUUGUAUAUUAUCUGACUUUAUAAACUCUCAACAACAAUGUGCUUAUAUAUUUUUUUCAGGCUAAAUCUACCCAAGACACUGGCUGUCAGACUGAUUUAGCUGCAAGAAUGCACUUGUCCAGGCUGACGUGAAACCUUCCCUGUAGCAAAGCCAGCCAGAAUGGAGUUCACAGCCGCAGUGUGUCUGGUGACCCACGGGGACCAUGAUGAAAAUUCAUCUUCCAGAAGGUCCCAGAGCAGCGGCCACACCCCCUGAAAAGACCAAGGUGUGAGGUGUCUGCUGUUGAUUCCAGCUUCCACCUCAGUGACGGUGCAAGCUCAGUGAACUGUUCAAGGACACUCAGCAAAAUAUGGACUCUACACCAUGAGGCAGGCACAUGUUAAUACUCUAUAAGAGCACAUAAGCAUGAGGAUGUCCUCACACACCUGUAACCUAUCAGCUCAUCUGGCAGAAUAGAGAGAGAAGAGACAACACCACAUCUCCUGUUCCUGGAAAGCCUUCAGCCAUCCUUCGAUGACUGAGAACCUCCAUCAGCUCUGUCUCCUGUCUGCCUACAAUAAUUAUAAUAAAUAUUGUGUUUGACAAGUUUUUUGUGCUGCCAAAUAUCUCAUAUAGAUUCCAGUUUUGAUAUUUUAAUGGAUAUUUAUAAAUUACAUUAAUUGAAUUAUCACAAUGCAUGUUUAACUAGCUCUAUUGUGAUGAAUUAAACUAGCACCUCACUGUUAAAAGCUCGUUUUAAUUUCAAGCAUGUUUAAGUAUUUAUGGACAUGAACAAAAACAGGAAAUAUAUAAAUUGAGAUUUAUUUAAUUAAUAUAACAAAUAAGGAGGAAAGAGUCAUUGAAAGGCACAUUCUUCUGGAAGCUCCUGAUCCUGAUUGCACCAGCAGAGGAGACCACCUGCAGACACCAGAGACCAGCUGCAGACACCAGAGGACCUAGAACCAAGAGAGCAGCUGUUAUCAGUAAAUAAAUAAACCAGGGCAGUUUUAGUGAGCUGAACACAUUACAGAAUAAUUUUCUCAUGGGGUAUUUUCAUAACUUUAUGCAGCAGACUGUAACUUGAGCCCAGAGCUACCGGAGAGCUGCUAUCCAGCACGUUUCAGUGGAUUUUCCUGCUUUAACAGGUUAGAUUAGCUGUUAAGCAGCUCAGCUAUUUGUUGCAGAUUAAAACCAGGUGUGCUGAAGCAGAUAAACCUCUAAAACAUGCUGAAUACUAGCUCUCCAGGGCCGUGGAGACAAACCCUGCAGCUAAUCCAAUGCUAUGGCUAACGGCUACUUACGUUCAGAGGUGGUUCUGUUGGGUCGGUUCUGGGAGUUACAGGCAACUCACAAGCUCACAACAAUAAGGCUCAGGUCCGCUUGUCUCCUCCAAAUAGACUUGGUCCCUUUCUUCUCGAGUGUCUGGGUAAGGAGGGGGAGAAACGUCCUCCAUUUCUAAUAACUGCAUAGAGUGAAGGGAGCUAGCAUCGUCUAGUUAGCCGUCGUCUUCGUCACUGCCGCGGCUCCGCCCUCUCGGUCCUCCAGGCAACGCCUACUAAUGUUGCAUUUUUUAAAAUUGAUACGUGGGUAGAGAAGGACUCCGAGGCUCAAUUGACCCGCUCUUUAACUGUUUUACCUUCCUGUGAAGAUUGUUGCAAAGAGAAACAACUAAACUUGAUUAACCCCAGAGCCACGCGCACUGCGCUGUACUGACUGUAAAGUGAGGGGGAAAUGAUUUAAUUGAAUUUUUUUCUUUUCAACAUGGUUUAAUGUAAAGUUUCAUUCAUUACAAACUUUAGUUACACCAGUCUAACGAGACAGAGCCUGGAUUUGUAUUCUGAACAGUUUAAACAUGUUUAAAACGGAGACAUGCGUGACGCGUCUAAAAUUCGCACCUGCUCCGCUAUUAUGGAAAUUAAACUAACAAGAUGAAUAACAGGAACUUAUUUUAGGCACAGAAAACAU